GCUUUUUGCCUUUGUGAAGACUGAGCAGAGCUCAUGAAGAUCCCUUUUGCAGUGUAACACUGCUAAUCCUGCCUUUUCUCAGUAGGACUUAGGUGUAUUUGUGUUCUUUCAUCAUGGCAACUCCCUGCUCCCUUGAUACCAUGUUCUGGACCUGGGAGACUUCAGUGCAACAGCUGUUAGCAGUUCUGAAGAAAGCAGGUUGCUGUCUACUCCUCCAGGUUCUUUUGUCUCCAACAGGAAAGGCUGUAAUUGGAAUAUAAAUGAAACCAUUUUUUCCCCUGAAAUGAAAUGUAGACAGCUUUGGCUAUCUGGCAGUAAUUCCCAUUCUGAGUUUCCCUUGGUGAGAUUCCUGUUUCCACUGGAGCAUAAUUUCCAAACAGAAGAAGAGGAUGUCACCAGAGGCACUCCAGAUAUGUAAUGUCCCUUAUUCAGCAAAUCAGAUGAACAGGUGCUGAAAUGUUGGUUCUUUGAGCAGUCCCAGUAGAGUUAUCACAGAAAAAUGUUUACAACAAAAUAAAAGGA